UACGAAGGGGACUAGCGUUGUUCGGAAUUACUGGGCGUAAAGCGCACGUAGGCGGAUUGCUAAGUCAGGGGUGAAAUCCCGGGGCUCAACCUCGGAACUGCCUUUGAUACUGACAAUCUCGAGUCCGAUAGAGGUGGGUGGAAUUCCUAGUGUAGAGGUGAAAUUCGUAGAUAUUAGGAAGAACACCGGUGGCGAAGGCGGCCCACUGGAUCGGUACUGACGCUGAGACGCGAAAGCGUGGGGAGCGAACAGG
rnacentral:rRNA from 1 species